rnacentral:rRNA from 1 species
CUGCACGCUGGCGGCGUGCCUCAUCCCUGCAAGUCGAGCGCACAGACGAGGAGCUUGCUCCUCUGACGUUAGCGGCGGACGGGUGAGUAACACGUGGAUAACCUACCUAUAAGACUGGGAUAACUUCGGGAAACCGGAGCUAAUACCGGAUAAUAUAUUGAACCGCAUGGUUCAAUAGUGAAAGACGGUUUUGCUGUCACUUAUAGAUGGAUCCGCGCCGCAUUAGCUAGUUGGUAAGGUAACGGCUUACCAAGGCAACGAUGCGUAGCCGACCUGAGAGGGUGAUCGGCCACACUGGAACUGAGACACGGUCCAGACUCCUACGGGAGGCAGCAGUAGGGAAUCUUCCGCAAUGGGCGAAAGCCUGACGGAGCAACGCCGCGUGAGUGAUGAAGGUCUUCGGAUCGUAAAACUCUGUUAUUAGGGAAGAACAAAUGUGUAAGUAACUAUGCACGUCUUGACGGUACCUAAUCAGAAAGCCACGGCUAACUACGUG